UUAAUUCCCUAGCGAGACCGCUCGCAAACGAGGAGGAAGGCGGGGAUGGCGUCAAGUCAGCAUGGCCUUUAUACCCUGGGCGACACACACGCUACAAUGGGUGGUACAGUAGGUAGCGAAGGAGCGAUCCGGAGCAAAUCCUUAAAACCAUCCUCAGUACGGAUUGCAGGCUGAAACCCGCCCGCAUGAAGCCGGAGUUGCUAGUAACCGCAUAUCAGCAUGGUGCGGUGAAUACGUUCUCGGGCCUU
rnacentral:rRNA from 1 species